GUCGAAAUUCCAACUAGUGGUCAAAAAGCGUACCUCGGGGAGAGAGAAAACAAAAUUUACUUUCGUUUGAAUGCACAUACGCCAUUCAACAUUGUAUGUUUCAUUCAUAAUUUUCAGUCUUCCUGAAAACUUUUAAAAUGUCAUUAUUUUUUUUUAUUUUGAGUUUUGAAAUGUCCUAAUUUAUUUUUUGAUAAAUUAUCUUGGAUCUUUAAUAUAUGAUCAUUGUAGUUCUGUGAUUUGAAUGGAACAAAGAACAAAAAUGUUUGUUCGCUCAGAAUAUUUUUUUGUGAGGAAUCAAGUAGAUAUUUCAUAAUUAUUGUUCGAACAACGAAUAGAGAGCGAUUUACGUAUCAUGUGAUUGAAUUUGGUCUAAAAAAAAUAAAGGGAAUACCAAUUUAAAUACCUAGUCGUAGUUUUGACGGUGCAAAUGUAACCAUGUAAGACAGCGGAAUUGCCAAAGACCCGAAACUAAAUCGAAACAAGACACAAUUAACCCUAGAUUGGUUAAAUGAGCAUUUAGUGGCGGAGGAUUCUGAAUUAAUGGAUUUAAUAAUAAAUGGUAUGGGAAGAGAAGACAGAAGAUACGUGAUGAAAAGUGUAUAUACCACUUUAAAUUUGUCAUUUCUCAAUCAAUCAUUUUACACCAUUGUUUUUUAACAGUUCCACUGGACGUAAACCGCUCUUUGUUUUCCGGUGGACCCCCUUCAGCAGACAGUACAAGAGAUUGCUUGCAACAAAUGAACUGGAUGAUGCAAGACUAUUUUGAUAUGGACACGCUUGGUGUAAAGGUAACCACAACAAAACUAUUGUCAACUGAUGAUGAAACAGCUAUGGAAUUAUUAAGGAAAUAUACAAGAAAAGUUGACGAACGAUAUAAAGGUCGUCUUUUAAACGUGCCUCCAUUCCCAAAUUCACAUGAAAUGACAUUGAAACGUUUAUACAGUGUGGAAAAUAAAAUGGCCCGGGAUAGUGGUAAUUGCAGUGCAUAUUGUGAGAAAAUAAAUGACUACAUAUCUAAGAGCAAUUGCUGAAAAGUUGAAGUAAACGAAUUACAUUUAAAUCCACAACGAGUUCUAUAUCGACCUCAUUUUGGUGUGAACAAAAAAAGGAAUUAGGAUUUUGUUUUAUGCUGCAGCCGAAGUGAACAAUGUGUCGUUGAAUAAGUGCCUUUUAAGUGGGCCAGACAUAAACAUUUUUUUAUAUUUCGUGAAGCUUUAAUAGACAUCUGUGGGGACAUAAAAAAGAUGUUCCAUCAAGUCAAAAUCGCCAAAGAAAAUCAAGAUUGAUAACGAUUUCUUUGAAGAAAUGGAGAUAAAAAUAAAAGAGAGGAAACUUAUGUUAUGCUAAGAAUGUUAUUUGGCGCAACUUGUUCGCCAACUAUAUCCCAAUAUGUAAAAAAUAUGAAUGCCGAUAUGUUUGUGAAAGAGUAACCUCACCAAUUGUUAAUCGCCAUGAUGUGAACGACUAUGUCGACGGUUUUCAAAACGUGAUUAGAAUUCAUAGUGUUGGAGGUUUUGUGUUGAGAAAUAUUAUUUCAAAAUCCAAGAGAGUAAUUCAAAUUGUGGAGAAUCGGCCAGCAGAGCCAACGAUAGCUGUGAUUUUUUGAAUAAAAAUUCUGUUGAAAGGAUUUUGGGCAUACACUGAUUGCCAAAUCCAGAUAUUUUCUGCUUCCGCUUGAAUUUACAUAAAGUUGAUAAAUCCAUUUUAGACUUUUCAAAGAUUUCUACAAAACGUCUGAACAUGUCAAUCUAUGACCCAUUCGGAUUUGUUUGCCAUUUUAUGGUUGCUUCGAAAAUAUCAAUGCAAAAAGAAAGUUGAUUUACAUAUAUUGCAGAUGCGAGUGAAGAUGCAAUGGCUACGAUAGCGUAUUGUCGCGUGGCUGGCACCAAGAGUGUGGAACACUGACGGCAGCUAGUGACUAAAGUUCUUACCAAAACAUUAGGACGAACAAAGAAUAUUUUUUUCCAAUCUCAGAUUAGGACAAACAAAGAAGGUACGUCACAUUAAACCGACGAUCUAACUAAAGCUUGGUAACCUUACCUUGAAUUGAGCUCAGUUCAACGGCGCGUACCUGCAUACCAACACAAGUCCGGAGUUCAAUAAACAGCAGUGUCAAUUGAGAAAGAUACCAAGCCAUGAUGGAGCAACAAUGGCGUAAAAUCUGCCACUCCCUCGAUGGAAUGGGCGGGCGAUGGUGUGGCUCGUUGAUUUCAAAUCUCCUGGUCUGGAUGUGUAUUUUUAAGAUUUUUUUUGUUUCUGGUAUUUAUUUAAGGCUUGUUCUGCUGUUAACUUCUAUUUAGUUUUAGGAAUAGAUUGGUUGAGAUAAAACUGUCUUUAUGAUAUAUAGGAUGUAGUAUCCAUUAAGAAUAAUGUCGCUAAACUCAUCAAAAUACCGAAUAUCUAGAGGUACCAUUAUAUAGUAGGACGGACAUCACUAAAUCGACAGACAAUUUUAUGCUGGUCAAGAAAAUAUGUACUUUGUGGGAUCUAAAUGUAUAUUUCGAGGUGUAACAAUUGGAAUGACAAACUUAAUAUACCCUUCAUACUAUGGAUAUGGUAUAUUGUUGUUGCCACUUGUUCCUCAAGAAAACUGAUCACAAAUACAAAUGAAGGGAGAUUUCGAAUUGAGUAGCAAUGAAAGAGAUAUGAGAAUGAAUGCGAAGCCUUAAAACCCCAAAAUAGAAGAAAUAAAAUGCUCUUAAAUCGAAAGAAAUUAAAUAGAUAUCAAAUCAAGUUAAAUGCGAAGACACAGAACGCGUAUUAAAAAAUAAAAGUUUUGUCGACGGCGAAUUUACUUUUAUAUUUAAUUUGAUGAAAUAAGAUGAACAUUUUUUUGAUUAAAUAGAUCCAAAAACAGGCAUUGAAUUUUCGCCUUAAACUUGUAUCCGGUUCGUUGAGGACCAACAUAAAAUACUUGGGAGUCGUCGGUAAUUUUCUUGUAGAAGUUAAACGCUUAGAAACCGAUCCAAAGAAAUUUUGUUGAAAGCACAAUAUUUCUUCCAGAAGGAUUUCGGAUUGAGUUGGAAAAAGAGAAACAAAUAAAAAACAAGCAGAAUUUGUUUGUGUUGUGAAAAGAAAUGCUAUGGUAAUGGAUUUAUGGGUGUAAUUAACUUUGACUAUUCUGAAAUCAUUCUGUACUCAAUUAUGAAGUAGACAAAACUAAAUACCACACAGCACGAUCAUAAACAUAGCAAAUUCCAAAUUACAGCACAUUUGAACAGAAAAUGUUGUUAAGUUCUCUACAAUACUAAAAAUUUAGCUAAGCUCUUACAUGGGGCUAUUAUAAACCGUUGAGCCAGAUCUGUGAAUAAUUGUGCUUAAAAAAAUGCAUUAAAGACUAAGUUAACGGGCAGCUAACGGGGACCGCGCCAGAUAGUACAAAAUAGUAGUUCCUAUAGAAACAGCACUCCUAGCGGCUGACCAACCAGAGAUAGCCCUCUCUCCGAGAACACAUUAUUUGUUUUAUUAAAAUACAAAGAUUUUUAGUAUUUUGUGUUUUUUUUUUUUU